rnacentral:lncRNA from 1 species
GGAUUGUGUUUGCUAAUAUUUUAUUUUCUUUAUCAAUAUUCUUAACUUCAAUUCCGCUUUAUCAAACUUUUACUGAAAGCUUUUCCAACAUUCACAUUGUUCUAGAUAUCUUGACAUAUAGCAACUUCUGUACUCUUUUGAGGAAUUCAUGACAACCUCUUUUACAGGUGAGAAUACUGUUGCCCACAGAGGUGGAGUGACUCACACAAAGUUCUAUAGCUACUGACUGUAUAGCAGAGAGGGGAGCCAGGGCUGUCUGCCUCCCAGUUAGGGUGACCAUUCUGGUUUGCCCUGGAUUGAGGGCUCAUCAAUUCUCUAUCAUUUAGAAACUAUAUUUUGGCCCAACAGAGACCUGUAAAAUAUGCCUUAAAUGAGGUCUAAGGUUUUUCUCUCAGGUAAAAGAAGUCUUGAAGUAGGCAUUUGGCUUGUCCAUUUUGGGCUGCUAUGAUAGAAUACCACAGACUGGUAAUGUAUAAACAAUGGAAGUGUAUUCCUCAUAGUUCUGGAGGUGCUGAAGUCCAAUAUCAAGGCACUAGGAGGUUCGGUUUCAUUGUCUGGUAAGACUGCAUCUACUAUAAGGGCUGCAUGCUCAUACGGCAGAAGAGGUGAAGAGCAAGCUAGCCAAAUCCUGCAGUGUGAAGGCUUUUUUAAAAUGACCUUAAUUCCACUAACAAAGAAGAAGCCCUCAUAACCUGACCACCUCU